AUUGAACGCUGGCGGUAUGCUUAACACAUGCAAGUCGAGCGGUAGCAGGCCUUCGGGCGCUGACGAGUGGCGGACGGGUGAGUAACGCGUAGGAAUCUGCCCCAUAGUGGGGGACAACGUGUGGAAACGCACGCUAAUACCGCAUACGCCCUACGGGGGAAAGCGGGGGAUCGUAAGACCUCGCGCUAUGGGAUGAGCCUGCGUUAGAUUAGCUAGUUGGUAGGGUAAAGGCCUACCAAGGCGACGAUCUAUAGCUGGUCUGAGAGGACGAUCAGCCACACUGGGACUGAGACACGGCCCAGACUCCUACGGGAGGCAGCAGUGGGGAAUAUUGGACAAUGGGCGCAAGCCUGAUCCAGCAAUACCGCGUGUGUGAAGAAGGCCCUAGGGUUGUAAAGCACUUUCAAUAGGGAGGAAAACCUGCCGGUCAAUACCCGGUAGCUUGACAUUACCUAUACAAGAAGCACCGGCUAACUCCGUGCCAGCCGCCGCCGUAACAC
rnacentral:rRNA from 1 species